CUCCCAAAGUGCUGGGAUUACAGGCGUGAGCCACUGCGCCCAGCCUGUGUUGUUUCUUAAAAUGAAAAUAGAUAAAGUUUUUAAAGCAUUAUAGAGAAUUUAACCUUCCACUGGUCUGAUUAAACAGUAUACAAGUAGCAUCUGCAUCAGCCAUCUAUGCCAUUUUCUUUUUAUGAUUUCGAAGAAAUUAUUCAAGAAAUCUGCCAAUUUAGCUAGUACUUAAAACCUGAUGUCCACUACUAAAAAUGUUUUAUGGGUGGAUCAAAUAAUUUAUUUUAAUACUAGUCUUGAAUAGAAAAAUAUACUAAUACACACUUUUUUUACAUUUGCUGUUUGUCUCUUCUUCCACCUCAAAACUCAUUUUUAACAUAGUUCAGAAAGUUACCUUAUAAUUGCUAAAUAAGAACAUGAUAUAUUUAACAGUUUGGAUUUUUCUCCAGGUAAAGAUUAGGUUUCCACUGAUGUUUAACAGGGCUUGUACUGUGCUUAGAAUACUUAGCUAUUCUGAAUUAUGAUUCAAGGCUAAAAGGUAUAAACAGCCUUCACAUAAUAUACUUUGAACCUGAAUUAUAUUGUUGAUUAUUUCGACUCUAUAAAAAUUGCCAUUUUAGUAAGUCAUUCUGUAUUGUUAUUCAAUGGAAAUAAUGUAUUUGUAAACGUUCUGCCAUAGAGUCUUUGAAAAGAUUUCCAAUGCUGUGUGUAACUGAAGCUGGACCUGAAAUCAGUCUUUGCAGUGUCAUGAAACCAUAAAAAUGUGGAACUGAGAGAAAUGACUUUUUACUACUAUGAAAUUCUUCUGGAAAACUUGAAACAGCAAAUGGCAUGCAGAAGGUAUACAGAAAUAAGUGCACAAAAACAUGCAGCAUAGUAUUUGAUAUGGUCAAUGGUGUCCUUCAAUAUAGUUAUGUUGUUUACAUAUUACUAUUUUGAAAACCUUAAAUUUCAGGAUUUUGUUGUUGUUGUUAUAUCCUACAAUGAAGACUGUGCUCUAUAAUGGAGAAAUGAAUUCUUAGAAGUAAUUCUCCCAUGCUCUGAGCCUUCUAGUCCUAAUAGUAUUUUUAUCAUGAUCUCCAUGUUAUGUAAAGAAAAUGUUUUUGUUUUCUUUUGUAAACUUUCAUAAGAAAGUUUGCUCUGACUUAGCUGUUUAGGAUGUCAUGGUAACUAAAGGUGGAAAUUGAGUGCAGGUUUCCUAGAAAAAUAAGGUGUAAUAUUGGCUAAUAAAGAAAACUAUGUAAGUUUGUGUUUUAAAAUGUUUCACAAGAACAAAAGCUACGAGGAUAAAGGAGCUUUUGGAUAAAGGAUAAUGAUAACUAUUGAAUUGACUGAAGAAAACUUAAGGAAGACAACAAAUUCUAGUCCUUUACACAAUGUGAUUAAAUGUCAUCUUUCCUGGUAUCAUUCUUUAAUAUGUAUUUUUAAAAACCACUAUGGCUACCUGGAGAAGAAUAGAUUGAAGGAUAUCACAACUAGAGACCAAGAGGCCAGAUGAGAGACUGUUAGAGUCAUCCAGAUGAUGGAUGACAGUGGCUUUGAUUGGAAUUUUAGUAAUAGGGGUGGAAAGAAUGACCCUUAAGGGACCCUUAGCAAGACAUAUUAGUAAGAAGUAAUGAUUGAGUGGGUAAAAUGGGUAAGGAUCAAAGAAUAUUCCCAGGUUUGUGGCUUAAGCAUCUGAGUGUAUUUACUAAACUAAGGAACCUUGUCAGAGGACCAGAUUCUUUUGGUUUGUUUAGAGGUAGGAAGAGAAUGUGUUUUAGAGCCCGUGGAAAAUCAAGUGGAGAUACCAGGUAAGCAAUUGGAUACAUACAUGUUAGGAAGUUAGGCCUGGAAACAGAUGAUCCAGCAUAUAGAUGGUAAUUGAAACAAGGAUUCCCUAGGGAGAUUGUGUACGAUGGGAAAAAGACGGAAUCCCUGAUGAACUCCAAAAAUCAAGAAGUAGCUGUAGUAGAGGUGAGAAAUUUUAUUUCCUUAAAGAAUUGGGGUGGAGAAUGUUAAGGGCAGUAUAGGACUGCUUAUACUCUUUAUUUAGAUUUAAUUCCCUUAAAUCUUCUCUUUAGAAAUAACAUGUAAAGAUUGAGCUUAUUUUUCUGCAUUAAAAAAAAAUUUUAUCGCUCUUUUCCAGACUUUUAAUUAUUUAAUUAACCUGUUUAUGCUGGUUUUUCCCUCUUCAUUUUGCUCUUUAACUUUUCCUUUACUUUGUGGUUAACCUUGUGGAAUAGAUUAGGUUUGAGAUAACUACUAGGUCUAGUUUUUAACUCAUCUAUGACCCAGAGUGGCUUACCUGAUCCAGUUAAAGAAUUAGAUUUUUUUUCAUAGUCUUAGCUUUGUUAGCAAAAUUUAGGCCUAGGAAGAGAAUGCCUGUAUUUUGGAAGGGCCUAGUUCUAAAAUAGACAGACAAAAUAUUCUGACUUGAAAAGAAUACUGUUAUAAAAAUAAAUUACAUUUAAAUGAUUAGAUUAUUGGCUCUGUAAUGCUUUAGUAGAUUGAAGUGAUUAGACUGUUAAACUUUUUUUUACUGGAAUUUCUUAAAGACUGGGUAAUCAUUUAUUCAAAUUACAAGUGCAUAUGUCUGAGAACAUAUAUGCAGCCAGAUGCUCUACCCCUGAGUUAUACCCCCUGAGAACAUAUAUUAUAAAUAUUAUCUUCCAAAUCAGGCAUUGUAAAUGUCCAGAUCUUUUUAAAAAAUAUUUUAUUUGAUUGAAUAAUUUCCUUGUUGAGAUUAGAGAUAAGAAUCUAAAUGUUUGGAUUUUUUUAGUUUAGAUUGUAUCACUAACUUUGAAAAUUAGUUGGAAACUCCAGUUUUAAUGAAAUUUAUUUUCUAGAGCAAGAAGGUGGUGGAUUUUAAUGCUCAGUGUUUUAGACUCUAAAUGAUCAUAUUUCUUAUGGCAGAAGUGCACACAGUGUUUGGGAUUCAUUUUUCAGUUUCUGAAAUGUAAAGAUGUACCAUGUGUAUACACGUGUGUACAUACAUACGAAUAUAUGAAAGAAGAGAAAAGGGAUAAAAUCACGAAGGUGAAAAUACAAACAAAAGUGAACUUUAUUUGUCUCAACUCAGGCAGGUGACCAGUUUGUCAAGAAGUUCUUCUCUGGUUUUCCCUGAUUUGGGAUCAUUAUAUUUUGCUGAAUUUUAUUUAUUAUAUAUUCGAUGUCUUUUAACUAGCACUGUUCAUUAGUGCAAAAUUAAAUGUUUAUCCUAUAUCUUCUGUUGUCAAACACACACUAUGGACAGAUAGAACAUUUUUGCCCUUAGAUCACAAACUAAUGGAAUUCACACCUAUUUUGAGUAACCUACUUUUUUAAAAGUAAGAAUAUCUGAUUUAACUCAGAAUUCGAUUUUUCUAACCUCCAAAGCACCUCCCGUGACUGCGGAAUAAAGUCCAUCUUGGGGCAAGUGAGAACAUUGAUUGCCUUUAUAGAGACUAAAAUGUUAACAGUGAAGAUUCAUGGAUGAACCUAGAUUUGAGAAGACACUAUCAAGAGAAUGAGAACAACAGACUGGGAGAAAGUGUUUGCUGAAGACAUACCUGAUAAAGGACUCACCCAAAAUAGACAAAGAGCUCUUAAAACUCAGCAUAAGAAAUGGAACAACCCAAUUAAAAAAUGAGCAAAAGAUCUAAACAGACACCUCACCAAGAAGAUAUACAUAUGGUUAUCUCUUCACUUUGUUGAUUGUUUCCAUGGCUGUGCAG